GACGAACGCUGGCGGCGUGCCUAAUACAUGCAAGUAGAACGCUGAAGCUUGGUGCUUGCACCGAGCGGCUGAGUUGCGAACGGGUGAGUAACGCGUAGGUAACCUGCCUGGUAGCGGGGGAUAACUAUUGGAAACGAUAGCUAAUACCGCAUAAGAGUAUAUGUUGCAUGACAUUUGCUUAAAAGGUGCAAUUGCAUCACUACCAGAUGGACCCGCGUUGUAUUAGCUAGUUGGUGAGGUAACGGCUCACCAAGGCAACGAUACAUAGCCGACCUGAGAGGGUGAUCGGCCAAACUGGGACUGAGACACGGCCCAGACUCCUACGGGAGGCAGCAGUAGGGAAUCUUCGGCAAUGGACGGAAGGCUGAACGAGCAACGCCGCGUGAGGGAAGAAGGUUGUCGGAUCGGAAAGCUCUGUUGUAAGAGAAGAACGAGUGUGAGAGUGGAAAGUUCACACUGUGACGGUAUCUGACCAGAAAGGGACGGCUAACUACGUG
rnacentral:rRNA from 1 species